AGAGAGACCCUUGUAUCUUGCCACUUUGCUGAAACUUUCUCUCAGGGUUAACUUUGGUGGAAUCAAACUUCAGUUUUUUAUGGGACCUUAUGAGCAGAGAGUAGAUAUUUCUUGAUCCUCCCAAAAAGAGAAAACUGUAACAAUGUCAUACACAAAAAGGUACAAAUGAAUACAUAAAAACAUAUUAAAAGCUGUAAAGAAAAGCCCCAAUUCAAGAAGGCAAGCAUAGCAAACUUACAUCAAAUCUCUCAUUAGCAACCAUAAAUGACAGAAAAUGUGGAAUCGUGUAUUUCAAAUCCUAAAUGUAAAUAAUUGCCAGUUAAUAUUGCUAAAUCAAUUAAGAUAUCUUUUAAAUGAGGCAGAAAGUUAAGAGCAUUUAAAACAUGCACAAAUUCCAACAGUUAUUGCCAAGAGAAUGAGGUCAUUGUGCUCACAGAUAAGCACUAGAAAAACUAGGUAUGUUAUACUCUGUUCAGUGGAGAUCUAAAUCUAUGUUUGACUGGCACGAUCAUUUAGGAAAUUGGCACACUCAGGGUUUACUGAGAAACUGUCUCUAAAGUGAUGGAGGAGUAUUUGAUCAAGGAAGACAACUUAGACCAGUAGACUCAACAUAGGGAGCCACAUGUACAAAUACACACACACACACACACACACACAUACACACACACACACAUACACACACACACUCACACACAGAGAGAGAGAGAGAGAGACAGAGAGAGAGAGAGAGAGAGAGAGAGAGAGAGAAUGCAUAAAACACUUGUCAUGCCAUGCAGAUAGAGGAGCAGAGCUCUAUUACUAGAACCCAUAUAAAUGUUGAGUGGGUGUAGAAGCCACCUUGUAUUUCCACACUCAGAAGGCAAAGGGAGGGGAAACAUGAAGUAAGCUAGCUAGCUAGACUGCAGAGAUCUGGGAGAUCUAGGUUCACCUGAGAGAGUCUAACUUGAUGAAAAAAAUAGAAAGCAAUUCAGUAGGAAGUCUAACAUAAGCCUGACAGACCACAGCCAUGAGCCGAUGCUCACCAUACAGAGAGAUACAUUUUAAAUAUAAAGUAAGACUCACCAAAAGCCUGGGAAAAUAUAGAAACUUCAAAGAAUCAUGAUGUUCUUCUCAAAGUUAAUAAGCCAUAAGAAGUCUGGUUGUAAGGUGGUUCAGAGAAGCUGAAGUUCCUGCUAAUCAUGCAGGGGAUUCCAUGGCUGAGCUUGUAGUGAAUCAUCGCAUUGCAGGGGUGGACUUUUCAGUAAUGUAGCUGCCUAUGAGUGGUUGGUGAUCCUAUAAGUACCCCCUCACCCUAAUAAACUCACUUAUUCACAAAGCUAGACUAGGAUGACACUGUUUCUUUGGUCAGUUACAGAUGCCUAGAUGAAGUAAAAAGACAUUUGUGGUCUUCUCAGGAAAAAUUGUACAACACAAUUUCUGCCUAGAACAGGAACCAGAAGAGCCAAAGACGACUUGAGAGGGACUGGUUGUUUUGUCCUUACACUGGGUGCUGAUUAUGGAAGUGGGACUGCCAAUGUGAUCAGUCCCCUCGAUCGCAUACCCAGUUCUAACUGAAUAGAAGCUAGACAUGAGAGGGAUUAAAACUGACCGAAUGCAACUUGCGAACGGAAAGGAUGUAAUUGACUGGCAGAUUACAGUCCAUCAUCAAGGGAAGCAAGUGCAGGAACUGAAGUAGAAAUUGGGAAGGAACACUGCAUACUGACUUGUUCUCUACAGCUGUAUCUCUUCCUGAUUUCUUACCCAGGACUACAUUCCUAGGGCUUUCACUCACCACAGAGAGUUGUGUCCUCCUACAUCAAUUAAUUCAUCAUGAAAAUGCCCCACAGACAUAUAAAAAAUCAGAUCUGAUGGAGGCAGUUCCAAAUUUAGAGUUUCUCUUCCAAAUGAGGCAAUGUACUUCAUGCUUGUUUUCACAGCACUCUGGUGAUUUCUUAGGCCCAGGUACAAUUACAGUCAUGUCAAAGCCUCCCUGAACAAAGCCACCAUCAUAUUUCCUAGGUUAUUCCAGUUACCCACAUAUUUGCUACAUUCUGUUCUUCCCAAUUUCAGUAAUUCUUAUAAUAAUGAAUGUUGUAGUACACCUAGGAAGGAAACUGUAUCUAGGUAGGGUUUGCUCUUCAUUUGGGAUUGUUGGCUAGUUGGUUGUUUGGUUUGCUUCAUUUUUCUUGUAAUAAAGAAUAUGGAUAACACGUUUCAGAUAAAAA